rnacentral:rRNA from 1 species
CCUACGGGAGGCAGCAGUAGGGAAUCUUCCACAAUGGGCGAAAGCCUGAUGGAGCAACGCCGCGUGGGUGAAGAAGGUCUGCGGAGCGGAAAACCCUGUUGGUAGAGAAGAAAGUGCAUGAGAGUAACAGUUCACGUGUCGACGGUAUCUAACCAGAAAGCCACGGCUAACUACGUGCCAGCAGCCGCGGUAAUACGUAGGUGGCAAGCGUGAGCCGGAUUUAUUGGGCGUAAAGGGAACGCAGGCGGUCUUUUAAGUCUGAUGUGAAAGCCUUCGGCUUAACCGGAGUAGUGCAUUGGCAACUGGGAGACUUGAGUGCAGCAGAGGCGAGUGGAACUCCAUGUGUAGCGGU